rnacentral:rRNA from 1 species
AACAAACGCUGGCGGCGUGCCUAACACAUGCAAGUCGUACGAGAAAGGGUCCUUCGGGGCCUGAGUAAAGUGGCGCACGGGUGAGUAACGCGUGGAUAAUCUGCCCUUCAGUUGGGAACAACUCAUCGAAAGGUGGGCUAAUACCGAAUAAUGCUGUGAGACCUCGGUUGAUCAGCCAAAGAGAGCCUCUGCUUGCAAGCCCUCGCUGAAGGAUGAGUCCGCGUACCAUUAGCUAGUUGGUAGGGUAAUGGCCUACCCAGGCGACGAUGGUUAGCUGGUCUGGGAGGAUGAUCAGCCACACUGGAACUGAGACACGGUCCAGACUCCUACGGGAGGCAGCAGUGAGGAAUCUUGCGCAAUGGGGGCAACCCUGACGCAGCAACGCCGCGUGAGUGAGGAAGGUCUUCGGAUCGUAAAGCUCUGUCGGAUGGAAAGAACCGCAUAGGGGUAAACAGCCCCUGUGUCUGACGGUACCAUCAAAGGAAGCACCGGCUAACUCCGUGCCAGCAGCCGCCGUAACAC